UAGGAGUACUAGGACCACGAGAUUUCCCCCAAGGUUAGCCCGUCCCGUCGGUCGCUAUUUAUAGUAGCGGCGAGGAUUCCCGCACGGGUCCCCCCACUUUUUCUCUCACCAGCUGAGUGACGAUCGAGAGCCUCGCUUGGGGAAGCAAGGAAGGAGAACGGCUGGCGGCUGGUGAUUAUAUCUGCCUUGGUCGCCCUUGUUUCGGUUCAAUACCGCUCGACGACUCCGAUCGAGAGCAACGUCGUCAACUGCUGUGAUAUUAACAGUAACAUUUUAAAAGUACGCCAGGAUAUCUUCCCUUCAACGAACUGCGCACCGGACAAUAAGUCUAGUAGUGAUUCGUUCCCAGCGACAAAUUUGGUAGUAGAUAAUAGAAUAUCUACGUGCAUUUUUUGGCUUCUACAAGAAGGUUACAUUCCUAAAUUGUGAAUUUUUUUCCCCAAGCGACGAGAUUGUGUGGUUGAAAAAAA
rnacentral:lncRNA from 1 species